CCUACGGGAGGCUGCAGUGGGGAAUAUUGGACAAUGGGGGCAACCCUGAUCCAGCCAUGCCGCGUGUGUGAAGAAGGCCCUCGGGUUGUAAAGCACUUUCAGUGAGGAAGAACGCCUGGUGGUUAAUACCCAUCAGGAAAGACAUCACUCACAGAAGAAGCACCGGCUAACUCCGUGCCAGCAGCCGCGGUAAUACGGAGGGUGCGAGCGUUAAUCGGAAUUACUGGGCGUAAAGCGCGCGUAGGUGGCUUGAUAAGCCGGUUGUGAAAGCCCCGGGCUCAACCUGGGAACGGCAUCCGGAACUGUCAAGAUAGUGUGCGGGAGAGGAAGGUAGACCCCCGGGUGUAGCGGUGAAGUGCGAAGAAAACGGGAGGAAUACCAGGGGCGAGGGGGGCCUUCUGGACUGACACUGCCCCUGAGGUGCGAACUCGUGGGUAGAAAACAGGAUCGGCUACCCGUGGGGUC
rnacentral:rRNA from 1 species